rnacentral:rRNA from 1 species
GGUGAACGCUGGCGGCGUGCCUAAUACAUGCCAGUCGAGCGAACGGACGAGAAGCUUGCUUCUCUGAUGUUAGCGGCGGACGGGUGAGUAACACGUGGAUAACCUACCUAUAAGACUGGGAUAACUUCGGGAAACCGGAGCUAAUACCGGAUAAUAUUUUGAACCGCAUGGUUCAAAAGUGAAAGACGGUCUUGCUGUCACUUAUAGAUGGAUCCGCGCUGCAUUAGCUAGUUGGUAAGGUAACGGCUUACCAAGGCAACGAUGCAUAGCCGACCUGAGAGGGUGAUCGGCCACACUGGAACUGAGACACGGUCCAGACUCCUACGGGAGGCAGCAGUAGGGAAUCUUCCGCAAUGGGCGAAAGCCUGACGGAGCAACGCCGCGUGAGUGAUGAAGGUCUUCGGAUCGUAAAACUCUGUUAUUAGGGAAGAACAUAUGUGUAAGUAACUGUGCACAUCUUGACGGUACCUAAUCAGAAAGCCACGGCUAACUACGUG